UACGUAGGGUGCGAGCGUUGUCCGGAAUUAUUGGGCGUAAAGGGCUCGUAGGCGGUUUGUCGCGUCGGGAGUGAAAACUCAGGGCUUAACCCUGAGCCUGCUUCCGAUACGGGCAGACUAGAGGUAUGCAGGGGGAGAACGGAAUUCCUGGUGUAGCGGUGGAAUGCGCAGAUAUCAGGAGGAACACCGGUGGCGAAGGCGGUUCUCUGGGCAUUACCUGACGCUGAGGAGCGAAAGUGUGGGGAGCGAACAGG
rnacentral:rRNA from 1 species